GCCGGGGUGGCGGAACUGGCAGACGCAUCGGACUUAAAAUCCGAAGGUCCCACAAGGACCGUGCGGGUUCGAUUCCCGCCCCCGGCA
rnacentral:tRNA from 1 species